rnacentral:rRNA from 1 species
GAUGAACGCUGGCGGCGUGCUUAACACAUGCAAGUCGAACGGGAAGGCUCCUGCUUGCAGGGGUACUCGAGUGGCGAACGGGUGAGUAACACGUUGGUGAUCUGCCCUGCACUUCGGGAUAAGCCUGGGAAACUGGGUCUAAUACCGGAUAGGACCACAUUUUGGAUGGUGUGGUGGAAAGUUUUUCGGUGUGGGAUGUGCUCGCGGCCUAUCAGCUUGUUGGUGGGGUAAUGGCCUACCAAGGCGUCGACGGGUAGCCGGCAUGAGAGGGUGUACGGCCACAUUGGGACAGAGGUGCGGCCCAGACGCCUACGGGAGGCAGCAGUGGGGAAUAGUGCACAAUGGGCGCAAGCAUGAUGCAGCGACGCCGCGUGGGAGAUAACGGCCUUCGGGUCAUAACCUCCUUUCGAUAGGGACGAUGCCAACGUGACGGUACCUUGAGAAAAAGCACCGGCUAACUACGUG